UGUUCUGUGGCUUAGUUGGUUAAAGCGCCGGGCUAGCGAACACGGAGUCGUGGGUUCGAAUCCCACCAGAACGC
rfam:Aedes albopictus isolate Foshan contig133412, whole genome shotgun sequence.